CGGCAAACAGUUAUCCCCUUUCUAGUCUGGCUCCUGGGAACUCUAGAAGGGAAUCAGUCUGCCACAAGUAAGUGGGUGAAUUCUUCUGUCCACGUCAGUAUUUUGAUGGGUNGCUUNAAAACUUGCCAGAUAACC
rnacentral:snoRNA from 10 species